GCUCGCAGCCUCUCUUCAUAAGGUCUAUUCUCUGGUCCUCUGAUCAGGGAAGACGAAGUGAUAUUGGAAUGGGGGGACAGUUUGUGGAGCCAGCUGAGGUAUUAACCCCAUCAUCAAUUGAAGGCUUCUGAUCAGCAGAGUAGUUCAGAGUCUCAAGGUGACAUUGGAUUUUGCACUGCUUCUCAGUGCACAGAGUGCAACAUGUCCCCAGGGUCUGAUCUGUAGCUUCCAACAACCAGUCUGAUACUCUAAUGAAGGCCAACCAUGAAAACUCCAACUAUGGUCUGCGAGUCAAGUAGGACCCUG